CAGAAAAUGAAAGUGUUUUCUGCCCUUUUCCCUACACUAAGGGAUUAUUGAGAUAAUGACCUAAUAGUCUGGGUUGUGUAUAUGUCAGAAAAACUUCAUUUUAUUAAUAAGUGAUACUACAGAUACUGCCCAUUUAUUAUAUUGAUAGCAGCUGUGGAUAUGAGAAGAGUGGACCUAUAUAUGUCCAUAUAUAGGUAUAACCAAUAUAUAUGUAUAACAUAUAUAUGUCCAUAUAUAUGUAUAACCAAACCACAGGUGUUUUUUUGGAAGUCAUAUUAUACAGGGAGUUGACAGAGGUGUGAGCUGGACUUUAAGAAGCUGCACAUAAGAUGCUAGUAUGAUCAAGCUGGAAUGGACUUAGACAAUUUGAAACAACUUUUCUCAGUUUUCAGAUGAGGAAACUGACGGGUACCAAGCUUAAAUGACUUGACGAAGCUCAUAGAAGAUUAGCAGGUAGUAGAAUAAUGACUGCUGACUCCUAAUUCAGUGGAUCUUCCCUGGCCACCGUUUUGUAUUGAGCUGCAAUGCUUCCUUGACUGUUCUCCAUGCCAGAUUCUUAUCAAUGAUCUUUCACCUAAGAAACAGCAAAGAUUCUGGCAAGCACACGAUCUAGAGAUACAUCUUAUUGCGAUUUUUCACAAAAAUCAAAAGAAGAAAGAAGGCUUAGCUGGUGUUUAAUUAUUGUUAUUUUUUUCAAUAGGGAAAUCUGUACACAAUGAUUUAUCUCCAGUGAUUUGCCAUUGAUCAAUUUUUUUCUCAUUUCAUUUUCUAUUUUUUUGUUUUUUGUUUUUCUUUAUUUUUUAUUUUUUUCUCCUUUUUCUUUUUUUAAAUUUUCUGUUUAUCACAAAUGAUCAUGUAAUUAUAUGUUAAUACUAUGUAACCCCAGUGUUUUCAACUGUUUGUGAUUCAAUGUUACCCAGUUUUCUUUUCUUAAUUUUAAAUAAAUUUGAAAAAUUAUCUUAGAGUGUUUUGAGCCUGUGUUGGUACAUUUAGUUCUAGUUCAUUGUGGUAAAUCCACUUCAGUUUCUAAGUUUCCACCCUUUAGUAAAGACAUAUUUCUAAAUUUGGUUUAUAUCCUCAGUUACAAAAGAUUCUAACUGCUAGUUUUGUGACAGCAAUCACACAUACCAUCAAGGGAUGGGGCAGGCAGUUUUGGAAUGUGCUGAUGCUAGCAUUUUUAUAAGCCUAUGGCUUUUAUAGUCUAAAUUGUUCUUAUUUCUAUUAAUGCUUCAAUUUUUGACAAACACACAACCAUAGAAACAAAUAAUAAAUUUGUUUUUUGGGAAUUAUCCAGGAUUCUUGGUUAAGUGGGGAAUUUAGGCUUUGACAGCAUAAAGGAUCACGGAUAAGUAUUUUUCACGGUGGCUCUAAUUAUAAUGCUGAGCAUGUGGCAGGCACAGAAAUAUUUACUCAUUGACUGAAUAUAGCACAUCGUAAUGUUGAUUUUUUUCCAACAUAAUUUUAGAGCUAGGCAUAUUGUAUUCUAUUACACUAGACUAUAUAUCAUUCUUAAAUAGAACCAGCCUUGCUAGAUAACACAUGUUGGAGGAGAGGCCCUUCUUCUUAGCCCUCAGUGUUUCCAUCUAUGGGGAAGAAGUUCCACCAUACUAACAUUACUAUCGUCUCUCCACCUGCUCACUCACUUCUCCCCAAGGGAGGGGUGUUCGAUAUGGUUUCUGAGCUUGGAAAGAAAACUCAGGCAUGUGUAACAUGGUUCCUUCAGUCCCAUGACCCACUGUCCACAAAUGGGCUGCUCACAGAGUGCAUGCCUUCACCCUUGUUCCUGGCCAUGCAGGAAAUUGUAUGAAACAGUCCUAGCUGAAGCCUGAGAUUUUCCUGCAUUGCCUAGUCCUGGUGGGUAUCUGUCUACUCCUGGAGUUUGGAUUGGAAAGUCCACAUGCCUGAAGGUAUAAACCUAUUCUACAAAGGGGUGUUUUCUAGAAUGAAGGUAAUAUUUUUAUCUUACAUUUGCAGAAAGAGACAGAACAAUGUUAUAGGUGAGUGCAUGGACAAUGACCUCAAACAGCUAAGAUUCAAACCCCUGCGUUGAAUGAUUGAAUUGAAAUGAUUCAAUGAGCUAAUGUACAUAAAGCAUCCAGAAUGUUGCCUGGCACAAGGACUGUAUUGUCUGCUAGACCAUUUAUUCAAAGUGGGAGGAUGAUGUUCUAAAAGCCAAUGAUAAAGCUCAUGGCAAUGCAGGGUAUAUCUGAUGGCAUGGAAUGCUUUAGGAUGGCCAAGAUUGCCCAUCAAAUGCCAAGUCACCGAAGGUACUCAUUUAUUCUAAAAAUAUCCACUAAGCAACCCUUUCUAAUAUGUGUUGUUCUAGGUUCUGGGAAAUAAGAAAUCAUUAGAAAAAGAUUUCUGCCUUCUAGAAGUACACAGUCUAAUGGUGAGAUAGGCAGUUAUUAAUGGCUCUCCUACUAGGAGCCUGACAUCAUGGUGAGCAUCGAGAAAGGAAUAACCUAAGCUGAAGACACGCCUUUUCAGGAGGCCAAGUUCCACGUUCUGUGCAUGCUUUUGGCGAAAGUCAGCAUAUCUGAAGGCCCUGACUCAACAGUAGUGGGUCUUAAUGCUUGUGCUUGUCCACCCUUCUCGGCAGUGAUUGAUUUCAUUGUUGGCUUGUUUUCAUGACUUGAAUGUGCGAUCUUCAGAGGGCCUAAUUCCUUGCAAGUUCCAUUUGAGGGUGGAAGAGCUAGAACAAGCUAUAACCAGUAGACAACUCCGUGACUCAGGAGCUUAAGCAUGUGACUAAUUAGUAAGAAAAAAUGUGGUGAAGAUUUGUAGUUAAUAAGAAGGAAAGAAGAAUCACUGGGGCUAGAAUUAUGCAAGCUUUUGUUUCCUUUUGGGACUAUAUCAGAACUAUGAGAGAAGAAAGGCUACCUUUUACCUUUGAGGAAUUUUCAAAGCCUUUUUUUUUUUUUUUGGUUGGUUUGUGACUGACAAAGGGCACAAUUUCAACACCUCAGAAAAAUGCCUCAUCAUUUCCUCUUGUGAAAUCUGGGUGCUUCUGAAUGAAUCCAUGUUAGGAAUGUGUACUUCCAUCCAUUAAAGUCAAUGUCCAGUCUCAUUUUGGGCCAGAGGCUGUUACUAAGUUGUAGUACUGGUGAGAAAAGGACAGAGCAUUUACCUUCCCUGGGUAUCCUGUGACCUACAUGUGUCCUUGCAAGGCAGGGAAAUGUUACUAAUUAAGAGCAUAGCCUUUCGUCAGAUGGGUUCAGAUCCUAACACAUCCUCUUUCUGGUUACAGGACAGUCCUCUCUGAGCCUCAGUUUUCUCAUCUCUAAGAUGAGGCUAAUUAUACCUACUUCCCAGGGGGGUACUAAGGAUAAAGUAACAACACAAGAAAAUUUUUUAUCCUUGAUUUUCUUAGCUGGAAAAUUAGGCUAGAAAGACCUCCAUCCUUGGGGUAUUUAAAAUAAAAGGACAAACAUAUGAUGAGUCUAAGUGAUCAAUACAUUGUGGCUUUUGUACUUACUAUUCUGAAACAUGGGUGUGGCCUAGAUACUUUCCAAAAUUCUGCCCUCUCCACCUAGCAAAAUGACAACCAGACUUACAGAUAUGCCAACAAGCUAGUGUUUAAUAAUGGUGUUUGAUGAUAAAUGGCAUUUCUUUUCGACAUUUGUCUCUUUUUAAAACUUGGUGCUCUUAAAUGCAUCAUUGGAUAAGUGAUGACUGUUCCCAUUCGCAAGAAGAGACCUGGAAUCUAAGCAUGAAGGACCUGUCCUGAUGUUGAGAAGUGUGGAUCACAUUUAUUUGUAAACUUAGCUUCUUGCUCGUCUCAUGGUUGCUUUUUUUUCUUUUUCCUUUUUCUUUUUUUUUUUUUUUUUUUUUUUUUUUUUUUUGAGAGGGAGUCUCACUCUGUCACCCAGGCUGGAGUGCAGUGGUGUGAUCCCGGCUCACUGCAACCUCCACCUCCCGGUUUCAAGCAAUUCUCCUGCUUCAGCCUCCCCAGAAGCUGGGAUUACAGGCACGUGCCACCAUACCCGGCUAACUUUUUUUUUUUUUUUUUUUUUUUUUUGGGAUUUUUAGUAGAGAUGGGGUUUUGCCAUAUUGGUCAGGCUGGUCUCGAACUCCUGACUUCGUGGUCCGCCCACCCGCCUCAGCUUCCCAAAGUAUUAGGAUUACUGGCGUGAGCUACCGCGCCUGGCCUUAUGGUUUUUCUCAUUUUUUCUUCCCUUCCUCCCUCGAUUCCUUUGUUCCUUUUACUCUACCAUGCCUACUGUAAAGAAUAAACAAUAGAUUGGAUCUACUCUCAAGAUGCAGGAUAGAGAAAACCAUCAUUUAUUAAAUGGCAUCUACACCGCAGGCUUUGUACCAGGCACACACUCCACUGUUCCCAGUUAUCCCUUACUGCACCCCUAGAGGUAUAUGUUUUCCCAGAAAAGAUAAACAAGUUGCCCAAAGUCACAUAUCACAUAGCUAGCAAGCGAACAUGGGGCUGAAAUAAAACACUGCCCAAUUCCAAAAUCCAUAUACUUGUUUCUUCAUGUUUCCCUAUGAAAAUGGCAAAGGUGAGGAGUGUGUGGUGUGUGUGCGUGUGCGCGUGCAUGUGCGUGUGUGUUUGCACAUGGAAAAUUCCAAAUAUCACAACUUCUCUAUAGACACUAGACUCAUUCUUUGGCUAUGGCUGUGUCCGUUAUCCCAAACUCUAUCUUUACCCCAGUUUUUACACUUGCAAAAGUAGAGAAACUUUAAGGUCCACCAGCUUUUACUAACCUCCCUCUUGCUCUGAUAGCUGUGUAAUAAUUUUUGUAUCCUUCCCAGUGGGUUCCCAGUCUUUUCAUCUGCUAGGACCAUCUGGUAACUCAUCACCAAACAUGGUGCCUGACAGCAUCACUGGUGCCCUGCAAAUGUCCACCUGAUAAAUGAGUGAAUUAAUGAAUGAAUAAGAAAAUGAAGGAUACUGGCUGCCCCUGGCCAACUAUAUCUUGGCUUUGGCUUGUCAUUCUAGAUUUGUGAUACUGGCUUCUAGCAGAAGCUUAAAGCCUCUUUUUUGUUCUUUUGUUCCUCUAAUGUACUCCCCCUGCCCCUCCACCAAGAUGGGAAGGAGGGCUGAUCUGAGCAUUCAGGUUUCAGAAUGCUAAUUGGAUAGCAGCCAAUUAGAAGUAGAUCCGUAAGGAUUUAAUUAGACUUUCUGGGUAGAUUUGGAUAUUGCUUUCAAAAUGAAAAGGCCCCAAAUCCAGGUUCCCCUGGAUUAUAAUAGUUUUAUGGCUCUGCCCUGCUUUAAUUUGAGGCUAGUUGGCAAUACCCUGUCCAGGAAAAAGGAAUCUUCCAUGUAGUCCUGUCUGUUCUACUGAGGUCUACAUUUGGGUUUUAGCAAACAAUUCAGCUAAUAUAUAUUAUUUUUCUUUGUUCUCAAGGAUUUAAUGGCAAGAUGCCAUUAUAGACAAGAACAGGAUUCAGACACUUUCGUGUUAUGUGUUCUUGUCCAAAUACUGUGUCACUCUGCACUGGCAUCCCAAUCCCACCAACACCUUUAGCAGGAACUUCCUGUUUCAAUAACAUUUCUCAAUACUCUACCUGAUUGCUUAGAAUCCAUGAGACAGCCAUAUUCUCCAUGUCUAGGUCCCUAUCUUAUUUUUGUUGAGAUGGUGUUAAGACUUUAUUUGUGAGGCUUCUGGGGAAGAGGAGUAAGGUAUUGAUCCCACUGACUGGAUAAUUUGGGUCUCAAAAUGGAUAAUAAAUAAGCAUUACAUAUUUUGACCACUUCCUUGGAGGAGAACUUCUUGGAAUGUGCACCAUGUCCGCUGCACUUUUUUUGCACAGAUAUCUAAGUUGGAGAAACAUACUACUAGAUAAAUCAAUUUGUUCUCUUAGUACUCAUGAUAUGGUUCCUGGGAACUUCUGAUUCACCAAAUUAAUCUUGGCCAGGUACAUACCUGGCAGGAAUCCAAAAAUUCCCCAAGUCUCCUUGAAGUUCAGGAUCAUCAUUCUUAAUAAAUACACCGAGGGAAAAACCAUGGAGAGUUUGUCCCAGAUGCUGUGAAUCUGGCCCGGGGUACAUGAAGAAGUCCUUAAUUGCAGUCAUUUACAUGGUAGAUUCUCUAUAAUCAUUUAAUUUGCUAUAGGUCUAUGAUUUUUAGUCCUUCUUCUCUAAAUGAUUGAACAUGUAUAAUUCCCAUUUCAAUCAUAUUACCUGGAUGAACAAAAGUAACGCUAGACUCAUUCAUGCAUUCUGGUUGCCAAGGAAAAGGAAAAAAAAAACAAAACAAUCAACAGGAUGUUUAAACUGUCUUAGGGCAACUUCAGGCCAUAGUCACUGGUGUUCUUGCAGACUAUGAGAUAUUUUACAUUCUGAUAAGGGAUAAAAAUUCGUGCCUCACAUGGCUCCCAUCACACUAAGAUCUUGCAACAAUAACACUACUGAUUCAGACAUUAAUCUUAAGUAUCCAGGGAGCCCUAAAACAUUGUAUCCCACUAGCAAGGACCAUGGUAAUUGCCACGUAAAUCCCCUCCAUUAUGUGGCCCUUAUUAUGACCAGCCAGCCAAGGCUUGCCUUUAAAUCAUACCAAUUGAACCGAGCCUUGUAGAAACACUAUCACCUACGCAUACCUCUGCUUCUUUUCAUUAACCUGCUAUCCUCUUUACAAAUGGGAUUCUUCACCCACUCCCUUCUUCUAGAUUAGCAAUGCCCUGUUAAGUAAACGAACACGAAAUUCAAAGGGAAACAGGAGCAAUCAUCAUUACCAGCUGCCGUGUUAAGCAUUGCGAAAACGCUCACGAUUCACAGAAAAAUCCAUGCUGUUCUUUGAAGGCAUUCAAGCCUUAAUAGCUAGCUGGAUGAAUGUUUAACUUCUAGGCCAGGCACUACUCUGUCCCAACAAUAAGCCCUGUACAUUGGGAAAGGUGCCGAGACAUGAACUUUGGUCUUCUCUGCAAUCCAUCUGGAGCAUUCACUGACAACAUCGACUUUGAAGUUGCACUGACCUGGCCAGCCCUGCCACUUACCAGGUUGGCUCUGUAUGGCUAAGCGUUUUCUCCUAAAAUCCCUUGAAAACUGUGAGAAGACCAUAAGAAGAUCAUAUCUUUAAUUCUAUUUCACAAGUCACACAAUAUUCCAAUCAAAUACAGAUGGUUGAGAAAAGUCAUCCAUCUUCCCUCCCCACCCUCCCACAGCCCCUCAACCACUGCCCUGAAACUUAUAUGCUGUUAUCCGCAGCUCCAUCUGGAGCAUCACAGCUACUGUCAACCCUGACGCUCUUUCUGAAAAAACACCGGAUGGACAUCAGAACUAUUUCUUUAAGGAUGUUACUGAGCCACACAGGAAAACUUGCCUUAUGAUUUUGAAUGCACGGAUCUGAUUUGACUAAACAUGAUAACUAGAGAAUCACCCAAUCUACUCCCAUUUUCAACUCUAAAUCAUCAGAGUGUCUCAAAUCCAAAGCACACACAGACCAGCCUGGCCAACACGGUGAAACUCCACCCCUACUAAAAGUAUAAAAAUUAUCCAGGUGUGGUGGCGGGCGCCUGUAAUCCAAGCUACUUGGGAGUCUGGAGGCAGGAGAAUCCCUUGAACCUGGGAGAUGGAGGUUGCAGUGAGCAGAGAUCACACCACCGCACUCUAGCCUGGGCCACAAAUCAACAACAACAACAACAACAAAAAACAAAGCGCACACAGAGACUGAGGUCCUCUUUGGCAUUGAGAAGAUGGCUAUGCAAGUCCCAACUAGCAAGUGCAAACUUCCCAGCUUCACUUCUGCCAGUGUCCCUUCACCCCUUCUCAACCCCACUGGGAGGCAGGAGGGUGCUUGACAAUAACAGCCUUGGCAUCACUCUGCCAGGGUGUAAUAGGAACUGUUACAAUUCUGAGAUUCUGUGUAAGCACUGGCCUUUCUGCCUAGAAUGCCUUCUCCUCUCUUUUUUAACUGCAUGCUCCUAUUUAUCUUUCAAAGCCCGGAAAAAAUAACACUGCACACGGGAAAUGCUCCCUUCCUACUGCAGUCAUUUAGAUGACUCUAUGCCAUUCCAUUCAUUUCUCUUUCCUACCACAGAAGUGCUUUGAGAUUUUGGAGUCAGACUGCUUGAACUUGAAUCCUGGCCCUCUCAUCAGAGACUUGACUUAUUUUAGGCAAGUUAUAUAACCAAUUUUACCUCAGUUCCUUACCCAUAAAAUGGGUCUAAUGAGAGUACCUACCACACAGAAUUUUGAUGAAAACUGAAUGAGAUGAAGGCCUUUAAGGCAGUGGUCCCCAACCCUGGGGACACAGACAGGUACCAUUUUGUGGCCUGUUAGGAACUGGGCCACACAGCAGGAGGUGAGCAGUGGGUGAGUGAGAUCAGCGUUAUUUACAGCUGCUCCCCAUUGCUCACCUUACUGCCUGAGCUCCACCUCCUGUCAGAUCAGCAGUGGCAUUAAAUUCUCAUAGCAGCACAAACCCUGUCAUGAACUGCACAUGCGAGGGAUCUAGGUUGUGCGCUCCUUAUGAGAAUCUAAUGCCUAAUGACCUGUCACCGUCUCCCAUCACCCCUAGAUGGGAGUGUCUAGUUGCAGGAAACAAGCUCAGGGCUUCCACUGAUUCUACAUUAUGGUGAGUUGUAUAAUUAUUUCAUUAUAUAAUACAAUGUAAUAAUAAUAGAAACACAGUGCACAACAAAUGUAAUGUGCUUGAAUCAUCCCCAAACCAUCCCAGUCCACGGUCUUCCACAUUUUGUCUUUUCACAAAAUUGUCUUCCACAAAACUGGUCCCUGGUGCCAAAAAGGCUUGGGACCACUGCUUUAAAGCCUUUGCAUAGUGCUUAGAAUUGAGGGGGAAAAAAAAAACAAAAACAAUGUAGCUAGUUGCUACAAUCACUAUAUUGGUGAGUUUCAAAAGGAAAAGAAUUCUGUCCCAUUUAUGCUUGAGCCUUGAGUUGCUAACCAAGCCUGACACAAAAUUACUGUUGAAGGGAUGUGUGAGUCCUAAUUGAAAUGAGGCCUCUUAAGGGAAUUGUGGACCAAACCCCAAGCAGGCAGAAAGCCGUAUCUUAAUUAUUGCAAGUAUUUCAGGCAAGGUGUGGAUGGCCAUUUGAAUUCAAGCAGACUAGGACCUGGGAUGAGAAAGAAGGUGUGUACGUGACUUGAUCUUUGAACUUUAGCUCACCAUCUGGAAGAAGGCUGAGUAUUCUCUGCACUCACAUAGUAGCUAAUGCCUACUCCCCAGCCACCCACAAUUCUUUCUGUAGGAAGGCUCGCUAGAAUACUUUGUGAUAUUGGAUAUUAGUUCCAUAUUCUACUGUGUAUCUUAGUUCAACCAAAUUGUAAUCAUCUGAUAUUUAUUUCUUUUAAUAUAAAUAUAAGUAUAUUAAGUCUUGGCAUGCUUGCUCAGUCUCUCUCUCUCUCCCAUUCCUCCCCGCUCCCCUCUCUCUUUCCCAACAGGCUUGGAAAGCAGGCAUCACCAUGCCUAUUUAACAGUUGGGGUCCCUUGGCCACCAGGUGCUGGAGUAGGAAUCUGAGCCCGGACAUGCCUGAUCUGUAAAUUUUGUGUUUUCCCCACUGUGCUGGGCAGAUCACAGCUAUCAGCGCCAAAUUCAUAGAAGGGGCGCCCCCUGUGGUCAAUUGAGGGAUUUGUGUUUGAGGUAGAUCUCAAGAAGGAAUGGGUGGGGAACUUAGCCUAGGACAGAGCAGAAAGGAGCCCUCACUCCCCAAGCACCAACGGCCUCAGUCCUUCCUGCUGACUCCAGCCUCUAGCUCUCACCCAGACUAUCUGCAUCCUUCUCUCCACCACGCUCCUUUGGAACCUGCGUAAAACACAGAUUAAAGGAAUUCCGCCUUACUUCCCUUUCCGCAUUAUGACCAAAUGGUUUUACACUAUCAUUGAACAGUUUAGUACAAAACAUGCCACCUUUUAAUCUAUUCAUUCAUUUAACAAAUACUUUGGAGUGUUUACCAUGUGCCAAGUGCUGUUCUAAUAGACAUAAGCUGUGAGGUUAUGCUUAUCUGAUUCUCACAGCAACAGCUUUCGAGAUAUGAAUUGGUAUACUCAUUUGACAGAUGAGGAAAUUGAAUUCAUGUAGUGAGAAAGGAAGAGCUGCAAUUCAGGGUUACUGGUUUCUCCUGCACUAAGCACUGAGCCACACUAGAAGAGAAGGCAUGAGGAAGACAAAAGUGAGAAGGUACGAGAGAAGAUAUUAAGUAGAGGUCUAUUAGUUCCUCUUAAAACUAUUUAUGAAAGAGGCGGAUGGGGUAGUGGAUGGGAAAGACAGAUGGAUUCAUGUUCUUCACUCCAGGUUUCCCCCCAUUCCCUUCCCUUUUAAAUGCCUGCUCAUUUUUUGGCUACCUUUCAAGCUCUAGGAAAUACUCUGGAAUUCCAGGCUGGGAGGGGUUUCCUUUGCAGAUCUGGCUAUUGUAACUUUACAAGAAAUUGCUCAAUACUUCCUCUCACCAGUUACAAACCACGGUUUUCUGAAUGAACUUUAUGUUCAUUAAACAGUUAACCCUUCAGCUUUCUGACUCACAUUUUUCAUGUUAUUAAUCAGCUCUUAGAGUAAGGUAAAAUCUAGAACAGACUUUAUAUACACCCUCCCUCCCACACACAUAUACAUACAUAAUACAAACACAGACCACACAUGUCCACAUCCUUAUGCGCAAACACUAAGAAACACACGCAUACACAAACAUACAUGUACACAAAAUUAAAUACAUAGCUAUGGCACUUUCACUAUACAUGUAAACACCCUUACACACAUACAAAUGUACAUGCGCGUGUGCGCACACACAUAUGGAAUUAGCUUUUUCUCUUUGUGGGAGGAGGGAAAUGAAAAGACCCAAAACAUUCAGAUUCCCAAAUGGACACGUAAGAACCCCGUCAUGGAAAUAGGUCUGGGUUUUUUUCUCUUUUGAGGGAAGCAGGGCGUUUCUGGUUACUGUCGCCAUUGCCAUUGUGCCCCUGCUUACCAUCCCCCUGCACCGCCCCCCCGGCCCCCGCCCGCCACUGCUAGGGUUUACAGGUCAUCCCUGGAUUAAAUAAGUGAUAUUGUGUUUUUUUUUCUUUGACACAAAGUAAAAUUAUAAUUAAUAUUGAAUAAAGUAAAAAUGAACUCCUGAGUUCCAGUCCCUUAUGUAACACACCUGGUUUGUGGCAGGCACUCAGGAAAUAUUAGUUGCAUGAACGAAGGCUGCAUUUUCAUUAGAACAACAUGCAGUUCAACCCCUUCAUGUUUCAAUGAGGGUUCAGAUACCCAGAGGGCUAUGCUAUCAUCCUGGAGCCCACUCUGCUAACAAUUAGCAGAACGGAAGCCUUAAUUUCCAGAUUCUAGUGAACUUGAUGAGUCAAGACUAUUGCAAUUGGAAAUCUGUUCUCCUCUGCUGCUGCAUUCCCUGCUUAAUACUCAAGCCAGAAACCAGGAAGGUAUGUGCCACAAAGUAAAGUGGGAUUCAGGACAAUUAUCCAUCAAGACUUUGUUACAGAUAUCCAAAGCAGGCAAUUCAAGACCCAGCUUGACUUUACUGUCUCCAUUGUGGUGGUUAAUGGAGACAAAUUCAAUUCAAAUAUGUGCACGUGGAUUUCUUUGUUUCUCUGAGGUUUGACUUAUCUGCCAAAAGAGAGAAACACAGAAAGAGGGGAGAAACAGGAGAGGGGAAAGAGAGAGGAGAGAGAAACCAAGGAAAUGUGACAUAUAAUAAUUUUUUAAAGAAUAUUUUUUCAUUUUUUUAUUGAGGUAUAAAAUACAUGUAGUAAGGUAUGUCAAUAACUCAAAUCUUAUGUGAUUUUUUUAUGUACAUGUAUACCUGUGUACACCUGUGUAACCACUACCUAAGUCAAGAUAGAGAACAUUUUAAUCAUCUUAAAAGAUUUCCUGUGUCUCUUCCCACCAAUACCUGCUGAUGAGCCCACUCUCCUUACAGCUAUCAGCAGAGUUGUUUUACCUGUCCUUGAACUUAAUAUAAAUGUAAUUAUACUGUAUAUGCUCUUUUGUGUCUGAUUUCUUUCACCCAACGUACUUGUUGGUUUAGUCCAUGUUGUGUAUAUCAGCAGUUUGUUUUUGUUAAGUAGCAGUGUUCCAUUGUAUAAAUGGACCAUAUUUUAUCCUUCAUGUUAAUGAACAUUUGAAUUGUUUUCAUGUUCUUGUUAUGAAUCAACAUGGUUAUGAAUAGUUUGGUUAUGAAGAGUUUUACACAUGUUUUUAGUCUAUUUUGUUUCUCUUAAAUAUAUACUUAGUCACGGGAUUACUGGUCAUAUAGUAUAGGCAGGCAGAUGUUCAGCUUUAAUUGACACAACCAACUGUUUUUGAAAGGGGUUGAGGCAAUUCACACACAAUAAAUAACAAUAUAUAAAAGUUCCAAUUACUCCCAAUAUUUAACAAUAUUUGAUUGUAUUAGUCUUUUUAAAAUUUUAGCCAUGCUGAUGAGUAUGUAUUGGUAACUCAGAGUAGUUCAAUUUGCAUUUUCUUAAUGAGCAAUCCGUGUGAAGUGCCUCAUCAAAGUUUGUGUGUGUGUGUGUGUGCUUUUAUCAUGUGUAUAUGAUACAUAUACACAUGAUACAUACAUAUGAUAUGUAUAUGAUACAGAUACACAUGAUACAUACAUAUGAUAUGUAUAUUAUACAUAUACACAUGAUACAUACAUAUGAUGUGCAUGGUACAUAUACACAUGAUACAUACAUAUGAUGUGCAUGGUACAUAUACACAUGAUACAUACAUAUGAUGUGCAUGGUACAUAUACACAUGAUACAUACAUAUGAUGUGCAUGGUACAUAUACACAUGAUACAUACAUAUGAUGUGCAUGGUACAUAUACACAUGAUACAUACAUAUGAUGUGCAUGGUCCAUAUACACAUGAUACAUACAUAUCAUGUGCAUGGUCCAUAUACACAUGAUACAUACAUAUCAUGUGCAUGGUCCAUAUACACAUGAUACAUACAUAUCAUGUGCAUGGUCCAUAUACACAUGAUACAUACAUAUCAUGUGCAUGGUCCAUAUACACAUGAUACAUACAUAUCAUGUGCAUGGUCCAUAUACACAUGAUACAUACAUAUCAUGUGCAUGGUCCAUAUACACAUGAUACAUACAUAUCAUGUGCAUGGUCCAUAUACACAUGAUACAUACAUAUCAUGUGCAUGGUCCAUAUACACAUGAUACAUACAUAUCAUGUGCAUGGUCCAUAUACACAUGAUACAUACAUAUCAUGUGCAUGGUCCAUAUACACAUGAUACAUACAUAUCAUGUGCAUGGUCCAUAUACACAUGAUACAUACAUAUCAUGUGCAUGGUCCAUAUACAUAUGAUACAUACAUAUCAUGUGCAUGGUCCAUAUACAUAUGAUACAUACAUAUCAUGUGCAUGGUCCAUAUACAUAUGAUACAUACAUAUCAUGUGCAUGGUCCAUAUACAUAUGAUACAUAUAAUGUAUACAUAAUAUGUAUAUAUUAAUAACACAUUUUUGUUAUUAAUUGGUAAGAGUUCUUAAUGUAUUCUGGGUAUGAGUACUUUCUCAGAUAGAAACAUAUACAUAUAUUAUGAUAAAAUUAUUAUUCCAGGCUGUGGCUUGCCUUUUCACUUCUUGUGUCCUGUUUAAGAAAUAUCUGCUAUCCCAAGCAUCUGGCAUCUUUCUUGACAUAUGUAGCAGUUGCUUUUUGACAGCUUGCUUCUUCAGUGAAUGAAUAAAUUAAUAAAGAGAAAUGUGAUGUUCAGUGAUCCAUUUUGCAGCAUUUAUUAAAUACUGGUGCAUAAUGAUGGAAUAAAUUUUAUACCGUAAGGAUAAACCAGUAUUCUGGACUAAGCCAACGUGGGAGACCCUAGGAGGCCUGUUUGAGAAAGUGACAUUUAAAUUGAGACUUGGCGGUGGCUGUGGCUACAUAUCUAGUAAGUGGCUGGGUUGGGAUUUGAACUCAUGCCUGCUUAGCUCUAAAGAUGAUGCUUUUGGCUUUGUACUCUGCUCUCUCUCUAGACAAACUCUGGUCCAAAAUCGUUAAAGCUAACAUUUAUCCCUGCCCAACUGGAAUUGUCAUGUUAUGACAAAUGGCUCUGUGGUCUCAGAUGCCCAGCAGACCCAUUAGUGGAAUUCUAUGUGCUACAGACCUGGGCAAAAUGCCAGAGCCUUAUACACCCAUCACAUUUCGUCUGGCAAAGGUCUUCAACAAAGAGAAGUAAUUACAGCAAUGAAAAGCAACAGGUCCAGCAACACCAUAAGAACAAAAUAAUUAAUUUCCCUAAAAUAGAAGAAACCAUUUAUAGAGUAAGAGCCGAUACAAUCAAUAAUUGGAAGAAAUAGAAGAGGCUUUAGUAUUCUAGCCUUCUUUAUUUGUAGAUGUAAAUGUCGAGCCUCAGAGAAGUUAUAUAUCUAAUUAGUGUCACUCAGGUAGAUAACAACAGAAUUAGGAUUAGAACUUAAUUCUUAUGACUCCCAGAGCAGGGAAAAGACAGGAUGAAGUCCCAAAACAUUGCGUGUGAACUCACAUCUGACUCUGAAUUGAGAGUCUGCUAUUUACUCCCUAUGUGACCAGAAUCCUUCAGAGCCCAUGAGAUUCCCUGUCAUAGAGUAGAUUUUGAUCCACACUAGGCAUUUUUACCUCUUGCUCUUUGAGUUGGUGCCCCAUGUUUACUCAGAAAUAUUCCAAAGGUGUUACAUCUAUUGGUUUUACAUGUUGAGCACAGAUCAUUAUAAGACAAAUUGAAAUGAAAACAUCAACAAGUCUCAUUCAUUGUCUAACUUACGCUGAGCAAUAUUUAAUAACUAGAAUAUCAAGAGAGUCCAAAGUGUUUGCCCAUCCCCUCAAGACCAAUGUAAUGGAAUUUUACUCUUAUCACCUGCUCAGGGUAGUGGCAAUUCAGGAUACAGAGGACAGAAAUAAAGAAUCAUGACACACAAUCCACAGAAUUCACAGAUGCCAAACAUCUACCCUUCUCUGUCACCACACAUUGGACUCACAUGGUGGAAAUAGGCAACACAAGCAGAGAGGUGGCUUAACCUUUCAUAAUUUUUCAACGACCUAUGGGAAGAGAGUUUUCUUGGUUCAAAUCCCAGCUUAGCCACACAGAGUGUGGUAAUAUUGGGCAAGUCAACCAAGCUCUCUGUGCUUCAGUUUCCUCAUUAUUAAAAUGGGGGAAAUAAUAGUGCCUGCAUCAGAGGGUUGUUGUGAGAACUAAACGAAAUAAUUUAUCUGAGCUUUAGAACCCACACCAUAUUAGUUAAAAAUUCAUGCAUUUUCUUUUAUUAUAUUUCUCUACCUUAGACUGCAAACUCUAAGAGGAAAGGCCGGACUGUUAUAUUCAUAAAGCAUUACAGGAACAGUAAUUAGAACUAGGAGCUUUUCAAUGGCCUGCCUGAAAUCUGAAAAAUAG
rnacentral:lncRNA from 10 species